rnacentral:rRNA from 1 species
AGAGUUUGAUCCUGGCUCAGGAUGAACGCUAGCGGCAGGCUUAACACAUGCAAGUCGAGGGGCAGCGGGGAGGAAGCUUGCUUUCUCCGCCGGCGACCGGCGCACGGGUGAGUAACACGUAUGCAACCUGCCCCUGUCAGGGGGACAACCCGCCGAAAGGCGGGCUAAACCCGCGUACAUGCCACCGGGGCAUCCCGGAGGCAGGAAAGGCUUCGGCCGGACAGGGAUGGGCAUGCGGCGCAUUAGGCAGUAGGCGGGGUAACGGCCCACCUAACCGACGAUGCGUAGGGGUUCUGAGAGGAAGGUCCCCCACACUGGUACUGAGACACGGACCAGACUCCUACGGGAGGCAGCAGUGAGGAAUAUUGGUCAAUGGUCGGGAGACUGAACCAGCCAAGCCGCGUGAGGGAGGAAGGUACAGAGUAUCGUAAACCUCUUUUGUCAGGGAACAAAGGCGGGGACGUGUCCCCGGAUGAGUGUACCUGAAGAAAAAGCAUCGGCUAACUCCGUGCCAGCAGCCGCGGUAAUACGGAGGAUGCGAGCGUUAUCCGGAUUUAUUGGGUUUAAAGGGUGCGCAGGCGGUCUGUUAAGUCAGCGGUCAAAGCCCGGGGCUCAACCCCGGCCCGCCGUUGAAACUGGCAGUCUCGAGUUGGAGAGAAGUAUGCGGAAUGCGCGGUGUAGCGGUGAAAUGCAUAGAUAUCGCGCAGAACUCCGAUUGCGAAGGCAGCAUGCCGGCUCCACACUGACGCUGAGGCACGAAAGCGUGGGUAUCGAACAGGAUUAGAUACCCUGGUAGUCCACGCAGUAACGAUGAAUGCUGGCUGUCCGGGGGGAUUGACCCCUGGGUGGCGAAGCGAAAGCGAUAAGCAUUCCACCUGGGGAGUACGCCGGCAACGGUGAAACUCAAAGGAAUUGACGGGGGCCCGCACAAGCGGAGGAACAUGUGGUUUAAUUCGAUGAUACGCGAGGAACCUUACCCGGGCUCAAACGGGGAGUGACUCAGGCAGAGACGCCUGUUUCCCACGGGACACUCCCCGAGGUGCUGCAUGGUUGUCGUCAGCUCGUGCCGUGAGGUGUCGGCUUAAGUGCCAUAACGAGCGCAACCCCCGCGUGCAGUUGCUAACAGAUAACGCUGAGGACUCUGCACGGACUGCCGGCGCAAGCCGCGAGGAAGGCGGGGAUGACGUCAAAUCAGCACGGCCCUUACGUCCGGGGCGACACACGUGUUACAAUGGGUGGUACAGCGGGAAGCCAGGCGGCGACGCCGAGCGGAACCCGAAAUCCACUCUCAGUUCGGAUCGGAGUCUGCAACCCGACUCCGUGAAGCUGGAUUCGCUAGUAAUCGCGCAUCAGCCAUGGCGCGGUGAAUACGUUCCCGGGCCUUGCACACACCGCCCGUCA